rnacentral:rRNA from 1 species
UACGGAGGGUGCAAGCGUUAAUCGGAAUUACUGGGCGUAAAGCGCGCGUAGGUGGUUGGUUAAGUGGGAUGUGAAAGCCCCGGGCUCAACCUGGGAAUGGCAUCCCAAACUGGCCAACUAGAGUACAAGAGAGGGGUGUGGAAUUUCCUGUGUAGCGGUGAAAUGCGUAGAUAUAGGAAGGAACAUCAGUGGCGAAGGCGACGCCCUGGCUUGAUACUGACACUGAGGUGCGAAAGCGUGGGGAGCAAACAGG